rnacentral:rRNA from 1 species
CAUGCAAGUCGAACGAUGAUGCCCAGCUUGCUGGGCGGAUUAGUGGCGAACGGGUGAGUAACACGUGAGUAACCUGCCCUUGACUUCGGGAUAACUCCGGGAAACCGGGGCUAAUACCGGAUAUGAGCCGCCUUCGCAUGGGGGUGGUUGGAAAGUUUUUCGGUCAGGGAUGGGCUCGCGGCCUAUCAGCUUGUUGGUGGGGUGAUGGCCUACCAAGGCGACGACGGGUAGCCGGCCUGAGAGGGCGACCGGCCACACUGGGACUGAGACACGGCCCAGACUCCUACGGGAGGCAGCAGUGGGGAAUAUUGCACAAUGGGCGAAAGCCUGAUGCAGCGACGCCGCGUGAGGGAUGAAGGCCUUCGGGUUGUAAACCUCUUUCAGCAGGGAAGAAGCGCAAGUGACGGUACCUGCAGAAGAAGCGCCGGCUAACUACGUGCCAGCAGCCGCGGUAAUACGUAGGGCGCAAGCGUUGUCCGGAAUUAUUGGGCGUAAAGAGCUCGUAGGCGGUUUGUCGCGUCUGGUGUGAAAACUCGAGGCUCAACCUCGAGCUUGCAUCGGGUACGGGCAGACUAGAGUGCGGUAGGGGAGACUGGAAUUCCUGGUGUAGCGGUGGAAUGCGCAGAUAUCAGGAGGAACACCGAUGGCGAAGGCAGGUCUCUGGGCCGCAACUGACGCUGAGGAGCGAAAGCAUGGGGAGCGAACAGGAUUAGAUACCCUGGUAGUC